rnacentral:rRNA from 1 species
AACGAACGCUGGCGGCAGGCCUAACACAUGCAAGUCGAGCGCCCCGCAAGGGGAGCGGCGGACGGGUGAGUAACGCGUGGGAACGUGCCUCUUGCUACGGAAUAGCCUCGGGAAACUGGGAGUAAUACCGUAUGUGCCCUACGGGGGAAAGAUUUAUCGGCAAGAGAUCGGCCCGCGUUGGAUUAGGUAGUUGGUGGGGUAAUGGCCUACCAAGCCGACGAUCCAUAGCUGGUUUGAGAGGAUGAUCAGCCACACUGGGACUGAGACACGGCCCAGACUCCUACGGGAGGCAGCAGUGGGGAAUAUUGGACAAUGGGCGCAAGCCUGAUCCAGCCAUGCCGCGUGGGUGAUGAAGGCCCUAGGGUUGUAAAGCCCUUUCGGCGGGGAAGAUAAUGACGGUACCCGCAGAAGAAG